AUUGAACGCUGGCGGCAUGCUUUACACAUGCAAGUCGAACGGUAACAGGCCUUCGGGUGCUGACGAGUGGCGAACGGGUGAGUAAUGCAUCGGAACGUGCCCAAUCGUGGGGGAUAACGUAGCGAAAGUUACGCUAAUACCGCAUAAGCCCUGAGGGGGAAAGUGGGGGACCGCAAGGCCUCACGCGAAUGGAGCGGCCGAUGUCAGAUUAGCUAGUUGGUGGGGUAAAGGCUCACCAAGGCGACGAUCUGUAGCGGGUCUGAGAGGAUGAUCCGCCACACUGGGACUGAGACACGGCCCAGACUCCUACGGGAGGCAGCAGUGGGGAAUUUUGGACAAUGGGCGCAAGCCUGAUCCAGCCAUGCCGCGUGCGGGACGAAGGCCUUCGGUU
rnacentral:rRNA from 1 species